UACGGAGGGUGCGAGCGUUGUUCGGAAUCACUGGGCGUAAAGGGCGCGUAGGCGGUCUUAUAAGUCAGAUGUGAAAGCCCACGGCUUAACUGUGGAAGAGCAUUUGAAACUGCAAGACUUGAGUACCAGAGGGGAAGGUGGAAUUCCCGGUGUAGAGGUGAAAUUCGUAGAUAUCGGGAGGAAUACCAACGGCGAAGGCAGCACUCUGGGCAGUUUCUGACACUGAGGCACGAAGGCUAGGGGAGCAAACGGGAUUAGAUACCCUGUAGU
rnacentral:rRNA from 1 species